rnacentral:lncRNA from 1 species
CACCUAGGCUGAGCAGAGACCCCUUUUUUCCCCCCAGCAAAUCAGCCAGCACCAGGAGCAGUUCAUCCAGAUGCUGAACGAGCCGCUGGGCGAGCUGGGCGAGCUGGAGGGGGAGGUGGGAGCCAUCGGGGACGAGUCCCCCCAGAUGAAUUACAUCCAGGUGACCCCGCAGGAGAAAGAAGCCAUAGAGAGGCUGAAGGCGCUGGGCUUUCCCGAGAGCCUGGUGAUCCAGGCCUACUUCGCCUGCGAGAAGAACGAGAACCUGGCGGCCAACUUCCUGCUCAGCCAGAACUUCGACGACGACUGAGGGACCCCCGGCCCUCCCCCAGCCCUGGGGGGGCUCCUUCUGCCUCCGGUGGGGACCCCCACGCCGUGUGGGGGGGGGGGGUUGGGAUGGAUCCAGCCUGGGGUGGGGGGGAUGGGGACCCCCAGCCCUGCCCCCACCCUGGGAGCAGAGGGAGCCCCUGGUUGGGGGAGGGGUCUCAGCACCCGCUGCUUUCUCCUGGCCCCCUCCCCAAAAACCGACCCCCCUCCCUGUCAGGCCCCGGGGACGGGAGGGUGGGGGAGGGGCGGGGGGGCGGCGCCGCAGAACAACCAAAAGUGGCGGCAAAGAGAUUAAAUGCAGAGUUUUAAACCCAUUUUGGGCCGUCCUCGUUCCCUGCUGAGGGCAGCAGCUCCGGGACGAACACCGGGGAGGUCCCGGUAGUACCGGUGGGGGGGGUCACGAGGUCGCCCCGGUGGGUUUGGGGGGGGUCUCGUCGCCCUCGGGGGGUGCCCCGGGCGGCGGCCGCUCCGCCGCCGCCGCCUCGGCCGCGGCCAGGGCGCUGCGGGCCGCCUCCUCCCGCUCCUGCCGCCGCCGCCGCUUCUCCUCGCGCCGCCGCCGCCGCUCCAGGUCGUCCAGCAGCUCCUGGGCUCGGGCCGAGGCGCGGGCGGGGGUCCCGGGCCGCGGGAGCCCCCCCAGCCCCGCCUCGGCCAGGAGCCGCUGCCGCCGCGCCGCGUCCGCCCGCGCCCGCUCCCGCGCG